rnacentral:rRNA from 1 species
UGAGGAAUAUUGGUCAAUGGACGAGAGUCUGAACCAGCCAAGUAGCGUGAAGGAUGACUGCCCUAUGGGUUGUAAACUUCUUUUAUACGGGAAUAAAGUGAGGCACGUGUGCCUUUUUGUAUGUACCGUAUGAAUAAGGAUCGGCUAACUCCGUGCCAGCAGCCGCGGUAAUACGGAGGAUCCGAGCGUUAUCCGGAUUUAUUGGGUUUAAAGGGAGCGUAGGCGGACGCUUAAGUCAGUUGUGAAAGUUUGCGGCUCAACCGUAAAAUUGCAGUUGAUACUGGGUGUCUUGAGUACAGUAGAGGUGGGCGGAAUUCGUGGUGUAGCGGUGAAAUGCUUAGAUAUCACGAAGAACUCCGAUUGCGAAGGCAGCUCACUAGACUGCAACUGACACUGAUGCUCGAAAGUGUGGGUAUCAAACAGGAUUAGAUACCCUGGUAGUCCACACAGUAAACGAUGAAUACUCGCUGUUUGCGAUAUACAGUAAGCGGCCAAGCGAAAGCAUUAAGUAUUCCACCUGGGGAGUACGCCGGCAACGGUGAAACUCAAAGGAAUUGACGGGGGCCCGCACAAGCGGAGGAACAUGUGGUUUAAUUCGAUGAUACGCGAGGAACCUUACCCGGGCUUAAAUUGCAUUUGAAUAAUCUGGAAACAGGUUAGCCGCAAGGCAAAUGUGAAGGUGCUGCAUGGUUGUCGUCAGCUCGUGCCGUGAGGUGUCGGCUUAAGUGCCAUAACGAGCGCAACCCUUAUCUUUAGUUACUAACAGGUCAUGCUGAGGACUCUAGAGAGACUGCCGUCGUAAGAUGUGAGGAAGGUGGGGAUGACGUCAAAUCAGCACGGCCCUUACGUCCGGGGCUACACACGUGUUACAAUGGGGGGUACAGAAGGCAGCUACCUGGUGACGGGAUGCUAAUCCCAAAAACCUCUCUCAGUUCGGAUCGAAGUCUGCAACCCGACUUCGUGAAGCUGGAUUCGCUAGUAAUCGCGCAUCAGCCAUGGCGCGGUGAAUACGUUCCC